AGGUCCAGUUUACAUCAGCUCCUCACAGAGCUCAGGAAAAUCCAGACCAAACUUUACCUGUCAGCUUUGACAGAGAUGGAGGUGACGCAUUUCCAAAAGGAAGAAAAGGUGGUAAUGUUGAGAUAUGGCAUCGUUAUGUGGAGUUGACUUUUAUUCAAGCUCCAGAAAAUGCUGCCUUAAAUGCAGUGAUGUUGGAAAGGUCCAGGGACAACUUCCACCAUCCAAGGUUGCUCCAAGACCUAUCCAACCUGGCCUUGGACACUUUCCAGGAUGCUGAGAGCUGCAUCCAGAAGGUGGAGUAAUGUCCUGUACCAGCCAACCACCUCCUGGCAACCUCAGGGUCUCAGUUUUGGCAGAACAACCCAACUACGUUUUCAAGGUGAAGACCUCAGAGGACAAGCAGGGCUGUUGGCCCUUUGUGGUUGUUGAAUACAUCCCAAAACCCCACAACACCGCCCAAAAAAUCCUUCACAGCAGAACUUUUUGGCUAAGGACUUAGGAUGAUUCACAGCUGUAUUUGACCCAGCCUUGGCUCCUUGAUCUGACGCUGUCUUUCCAUGUGACCUUGGGGAAACCACUUAGUGUCUGAUAAUUAGAGACUCUUAAACUGAUUAUUAGAGAUUCUUAAACUCAUAAAAGUGUUAUGAGAUGGCCAAGGUGGGGUGGAGGUGGAAGAGUCUCCAGAAGUAUGUAAACCAGAUUGAUUUGAAAAUCAAUGUGAUGCUUUCAAAAAAUGAAAUGCCUUUGAUCCUCUGGCAGCCUCACCACAUCUCCUGGACCCCUGUCUGUAACAGCAGAAGCCAAGGAGUGAGCAGUAGACUUCAUUCCUCUUGGAAUUUUCAUUAAAUUCAUAAAACAGUCCCUGAACUGAAGGAGAAUGGCAUUGUCCCCUCAGUGACCCCUCAGCAGGAGGGAAGAAGGGGUUGCACAGGCCCAAGGCACGCUUGCAGAAGCACCUUGUCCCCCACCACGGGGACAAGCAGAGCCCACCCCUCAGGUUGGGCCAUCUGCUCUGCCAAAAUCAUAACUCACUGCCAAUAACCUUAAUUAAAAAUAUUAAUG